UCGACCGUUAUGCGUUGUCUCUUCGGAGACAUCCGAUAAAAUUGGAACGAUACAGAGAAGAUUAGCAUGGCCCCUGCGCAAGGAUGACACGCAUAAAUCGAGAAAUGGUCCAAAUUUUUUUUCCUGCUCGCGCAAAUCGCAUGGCGGAUUGGAUUUAGGUUUUGCCCCCUUUUAUCGACUUCAUUCUUUGGUUUUGUUCCUCCUGCGAGUAUAGGAUAUUUAACAUCAUUCAAGAAUUGUCCGGCCAGUAUGCCUGGUGAAUCAAAAACUUCUGAACUGGUCUACACAUUGCCAGAGAGUGAGGUCGCCUACAAAUGUUCAUUUGUUUUUGCCACAAGAGUCUGCCUCAAUAACUUUGGUACUCCUACAGCCUUGUCAAAAUCCACUAUUGGGGUGAUUCCACUCUUAUGAAAAAAUUUCCAGAACUAACCACACCAAACCUCCACCAGACCCAACUAAGCAUUUGUCUUCAAUAUGAAGCUGGUUCACUUCCCUCAAUAUAAAGUCCAUCAAACUUGACAUGGAUCCAUCUGGCGCCUUGUUCUUAUGAUCAUAUGGCGUGAAUAGGGCCUGCAAACAAUAAUUAAUGAGAAUACAGAACAGAGGUAAGAGGCAUGAUUCCUCUUAGUGAGAUUAUUUGAUAUUCCUGUUCAAAAUCUCAAGCCACCAAUAAAGUCUGCUAUUUCCAAAGGUACUCAAUAGUCUAGUAAAAGAUUCAACAGGGAAACAAUUAUUUGAAUUACGACCAUAUUUAUAUAACAUGGGAGCUACUCUAUGCAGUCAUACUGUUAACCCUUUCUCAUGUUAUUAAAUAGUUUGUAGGUUUAAACAUUUAAAUAUUUUUGACAAAUCAGCUAUUCUAUGAUAUUUAUUCUGGAGAUAGUUU